CUUAUAUUUUUACACCUUAUUACUGUCCUUUAUCCUCUACCAUAGAACCAAAAGUCAACAACGACACACACACACACACACCUAUUUCGUCCACAUGUGUUAAUACAACUGCCUUCUUACAAGCUGUACAUGUGUCAUUAAAAAUCACUUCUCUUGUUGUAACAUUAUGUAAUACAACAAACAAAGGCAGAAAAGGGAAUGGUAUGACACACUGUUAGGAGGUGCUGAAACCACUAUGGGUAUACGAAAUAGUUAUAGAUAUGGAGACCCUCAAGAAUAAGUUAAAUACGGCCAGCAUGCAUAUAGGGACUGGUUUCCAUGCUACUGCAAACUGGGCUCCAAUUGUUGUUAAAUCACAGGUUAUAGGAUUGGAUUUAGAUAAAUCAAUGUAUAAUUAUUUAGAUAAUUUAACUGUUGCAACUAUGAAAUUCACUACAGGUCUAAGUAACUGGAGUACUUGUGCCAUCAGGUAUUUAUGGAUACAACAACAAGGAUUGGCAUUAGAAGACACACUAAUGAUUCCUAAACUAGAGAAGAUUAGAGGAAAGCGUAACCUCACAGAUAAUGAAUGGUUACUUCUAAAACCCCAAUCCACUAAAUGCAAUGGAUGGUUAACUGGUAAUGUUUCACAUUUUUCAUGCUCUUGCUAUUUUACAUUAUAUCAUACAUCAUCAAAGGAUGUUAAAUUAGCUUGUCAAUUUAACACAUUACCAGUACCAGUUUAUGAUCUUUUUGCCAAGAAUUUAACCUGGUUGGCACCCACAUACACAGGGGACUAUAUUUUUCCCAAAGAUAACACACACAGGUAGCCACACAUAUCCUAAAAGGAGAACUCCUUAAGGUGAGUUCACAAAUUCAGAAUGAUUUAGCCCAUCAUUGGUACAAUGCUUUACUGGUUGGUCCCCUACUGGAUCCCAGAUAAUGAAAUCAUUCUUCUAUCAUUUUGUUAUUAUAGUCCUGAUUUUAUUGUGUAUGAUUUUAUAUAACUGUCACCUUAGUUGUACAUUGAGGAAGUGAGUACAGAAAUUAAUCCAUAAUGCAGAACAGAAACAAUUAGAAAUUCUCCUCUCUGCCACUGGAGGGUAUCAACCCAUCUUUAAACUAGGCCUUAGGAAUUACCACAUGGGAAUCGAGGUGAAGAAAUUAAUGAAAGUCCCGCAGGGAGUGACUAGCACCCCUGAAAAUACCAUGUGGAAGUUUCUCUGUCCUGUUAAGAUUUUAUCGAUAAGAUGAGCAAUUUUUUUAUUGCUCAAAGAGGGGAAUGUAAGAAUAUGAAAUAGUUAACUUGUUCAUAUGUAUUUUAUGCUUUUAUAAGGUUUAUAAAUAUUAUUGCUGACUGAAAGGAUAUGAAAUAGUUCAACUCAAUUUACGACAUAAUAUGCU